GACGAACGCUGGCGGCGUGCUUAACACAUGCAAGUCGAACGGAAAGGCCCUGCUUUUGUGGGGUGCUCGAGUGGCGAACGGGUGAGUAACACGUGAGUAACCUGCCCUUGACUUUGGGAUAACUUCAGGAAACUGGGGCUAAUACCGGAUAGGAGCUCCUGCUGCAUGGUGGGGGUUGGAAAGUUUCGGCGGUUGGGGAUGGACUCGCGGCUUAUCAGCUUGUUGGUGGGGUAGUGGCUUACCAAGGCUUUGACGGGUAGCCGGCCUGAGAGGGUGACCGGCCACAUUGGGACUGAGAUACGGCCCAGACUCCUACGGGAGGCAGCAGUGGGGAAUAUUGCACAAUGGGCGGAAGCCUGAUGCAGCAACGCCGCGUGCGGGAUGACGGCCUUCGGGUUGUAAACCGCUUUCGCCUGUGACGAAGCGUGAGUGACGGUAAUGGGUAAAGAAGCACCGGCUAACUACGUGCCAGCAGCCGCGGUGAUACGUAGGGCGCGAGCGUUGUCCGGAUUUAUUGGGCGUAAAGGGCUCGUAGGUGGUUGAUCGCGUCGGAAGUGUAAUCUUGGGGCUUAACCCUGAGCGUGCUUUCGAUACGGGUUGACUUGAGGAAGGUAGGGGAGAAUGGAAUUCCUGGUGGAGCGGUGGAAUGCGCAGAUAUCAGGAGGAACACCAGUGGCGAAGGCGGUUCUCUGGGCCUUUCCUGACGCUGAGGAGCGAAAGCGUGGGGAGCGAACAGGCUUAGAUACCCUGGUAGUCCACGCUGUAAACGGUGGGUACUAGGUGUGGGGUCCAUUCCACGGGUUCCGUGCCGUAGCUAACGCUUUAAGUACCCCGCCUGGGGAGUACGGCCGCAAGGCUAAAACUCAAAGGAAUUGACGGGGCCCCGCACAAGCGGCGGAGCAUGCGGAUUAAUUCGAUGCAACGCGUAGAACCUUACCUGGGUUUGACAUGGAUCGGGAGUGCUCAGAGAUGGGUGUGCCUCUUUUGGGGUCGGUUCACAGGUGGUGCAUGGCUGUCGUCAGCUCGUGUCGUGAGAUGUUGGGUUAAGUCCCGCAACGAGCGCAACCCUUGUUCACUGUUGCCAGCACGUUAUGGUGGGGACUCAGUGGAGACCGCCGGGGUCAACUCGGAGGAAGGUGGGGAUGACGUCAAGUCGUCAUGCCCCUUAUGUCCAGGGCUUCACGCAUGCUACAAUGGCUGGUACAGAGAGUGGCGAGCCUGUGAGGGUGAGCGAAUCUCGGAAAGCCGGUCUCAGUUCGGAUUGGGGUCUGCAACUCGACCUCAUGAAGUCGGAGUCGCUAGUAAUCGCAGAUCAGCAACGCUGCGGUGAAUACGUUCCCGGG
rnacentral:rRNA from 1 species